GCGGUCGUGGCGGAAUGGCAGACGCGCCAGGUUGAGGGCCUGGUGGGUGAAUAACCCGUGUGGGUUCAAAUCCCACCGACCGCA
rnacentral:tRNA from 2 species